GCCCGAGUGUCACACACGCGGCGGUUCGGGAGGUGGCGGCAGCGGUAGCGGCAGGCGCCGCCGGGACGGGCACGGGCGCGCGGGCUCGGCAGGGCGCCGGCUGCCUCCCUCGGUCGCUCGUUUUCCGGCUGCGGGUCUAGGAUCGUCCCAGCGCUCUCGGGAAGGAAGAAGGGGGGGGGGGUGCCUGAGGACGCCGACAAGUUCGCUCAGCAGCCAGGAUCCCGGCCAAGCCGGAGGCUGCGCCUCCGACGGGACAGCAAACAGCGCGCGCCGCAGCUCACGAUCGAGCGUCCGAGGCGGGGGGCGCCCGGGCCUUUCGCUCUCGGCGGGGCCGCGGGCCGGGCUCCCAUGAGACGCUCCCGCGAGGGGCUCCAGAUCCGAAGCCCCGGCAGCGCGCGGCGGAGGCGGAGGGCGGCGCUGCAGCUGCCGGAGCCCGGGAGCCACCGGCAGGAGGCGGCGGAGAGAACUUGAACUUGGCGUCGGGAGCUGGCGCCCCGGACGCCCCCCGCCGGGGCCCGGGCCGGGGCCGGGACCGGGACGCCGAGGAACCUGGGCGGCUGCGCUGCCCCCCGGAUGGCCGCGGCCGUGGACCUGGCUCCCGUGCCGCGGCCCUAGGCGGCCUGUCGCCAUGGCCAAGUGGCUGAACAAGUACUUCAGCUUGGGCAACAGCAAGACCAAGAGCCCCCCGCAGCCGCCGCGGCCCGACUACCGCGAGCAGCGGCGCCGGGGCGGCGAUCGGCCCUCGCAGCAGCCCCCGCAAGCCGUGCCGCAGGCCUCCGCGUCCUCCUCCGCGUCCUGCGGUCCGGCCGCCGCCUCCUGCUUCUCGGCCUUGUCCGGGUCGCUGCCCGACGACAGCGGCAGCACGAGCGACCUCAUCCGCGCCUACCGCGCGCAGAAGGAGCGCGACUUCGAGGACCCCUACAACGGGCCCGGCUCGUCGCUGCGCAAACUGCGCGCGAUGUGCCGCCUGGACUACUGCGGCGGCGGCGGGGAGCCGGGCGGCGGCCAGCGCGCCUUCUCCGCCUCGUCCGCGUCGGGCGCCGCGGGCUGCUGCUGCGCCUCCUCCGGCGCGGGCGCCGCCGCCGCGUCCUCGUCCUCCGGCUCCCCGCACCUCUACCGCAGCAGCAGCGAGCGGCGCCCCGCCACGCCGGCCGAGGUGCGCUACAUCUCCCCCAAGCACCGCCUCAUCAAGGUGGAGAGCGCCGUGGGCAGCGCCGCCGGGGACCCCUCGGGGGGCGCCUGCUCCGGCGGCCGCACUUGGAGCCCCACCGCCUGCGGAGGCAAGAAGCUGCUCAACAAGUGUGCCGCCUCGGCCGCGGAGGAGAGCGGGUCCGGCAAGAAGGAGAAGGUGAUUAUCGCUGAUGACUACUCAGAUCCCUUUGAUGCCAAGAAUGAUCUCAAGAGUAAAGCGGGAAAGGGAGAGAGUGCUGGCUACAUGGAGCCCUACGAGGCCCAGAGGAUCAUGACAGAAUUUCAGAGGCAGGAAAGCGUCCGGUCCCAGCACAAAGGCAUCCAGUUGUACGACACCCCUUACGAACCCGAGGGCCAAAGCUUCGACUCGGACUCGGAGAGCACAGUCAGCCCCCGACUGCGGGAGAGCAAGCUGCCCCAGGAUGACGACAGGCCCGCCGACGAGUACGACCAGCCGUGGGAGUGGAACCGGGUCACCAUCCCAGCCCUGGCAGCCCAGUUUAACGGCAGCGAGAAGCGACAGUCGUCCCCCUCGCCUUCCCGGGACCGGCGGCGCCAGCUUCGAGCUCCCGGAGGGGGCUUCAAGCCCAUCAAACACGGGAGCCCCGAGUUCUGUGGGAUCCUGGGCGAAAGAGUGGAUCCUGCUGUCCCGCUGGAGAAGCAAAUACAGAAAAUGUUAGCGUUCAGGGGUCUUUCAGUCACACCCCUACCCUGCCUCCACAUACAGGUGGUCAAGCUGAGGCUUACGAAAGGUCAAGGCCACCAUCAGAGAUGCCAGGAGCUGUUCAAUGUGCAUCCUGACCCAGCUCUGUUGGGAACAUAAGUUCUGUGAGGGCUAGGACUUGCUUGGGUCACCACUGUUUCCUCCCAGUGUGCAGAACGGUGCCUGGCACAUAGUAAAUGCUCAUAAAUAGCUGUCUGCUGAAUGGACGGAGUCCCCACGGAGCUGCCAGCACUUUCUCUCUCCCUUUCGUCACCUCCCCUUCUCUCUCACCCACCACAGUCUGCUCCCCUUUCCUGCCCAGGCACCAGGUGACAGCCUCUGUCCUCGAGGGCAGCCAGCAGAGUAGCCGGCUCCCUCCUCCGCAGACACUAUUUUUCUCCUGCCUCCUCACCUCAGCCUGACCUGAAGGAUGGACCGUCCGGGGCUCAGGAUCUGGUGAUUCACAUUCCGCCCACACUUCUCCCAGAACACAGGACUCCCACACCCAGCCGCCUUCCUGGCAUCUCCACUUGGCUGACGAGUGGGCAUCUCAAAUUUAACGUGUUCGCAUCUGGGCUCCUCAUCAUCUCCUAAACACUCUUCCCCCAGCUUCCCCACCUCCAUAAAUAGCACCACAUGUAACAUGUGGCUGGUUACUCAAGCCACAGACCUGGAGUCAUCUUCAGCCCUCUUUUUGCCUGACAUCAGCAUCUAAUGCAUCAAUGGUAUCACGGAGCCAUCAGCAGAGGAGAGGCCGAGAACCUGCUGCGACUCUGCAAGGAGUGCAGCUACCUCGUCCGGAACAGCCAGACCAGCAAGCACGACUACUCGCUGUCCCUGAAGAGCAACCAGGGCUUUAUGCACAUGAAACUGGC